UUAAUAAAUUGAAUUUAAUUAAAAAUAAAUAUCUAAAUUUUAAGUAUAUCAUUUACAAUGAUAAGAUGUUUUUAACUUUAUUUAAAUU
rnacentral:tRNA from 1 species